rnacentral:rRNA from 1 species
ACUCAAAUGAAUUGACGGGGGCCCGCACAAGCGGAGGAACAUGUGGUUUAAUUCGAUGAUACGCGAGGAACCUUACCCGGGCUUGAAAUAUACUCGAAUGACUGUGAAAUCGGUCAGUCAGCAAUGACGAGUAUGUAGGUGCUGCAUGGUUGUCGUCAGCUCGUGCCGUGAGGUGUCGGCUUAAGUGCCAUAACGAGCGCAACCCUUAUCAUUAGUUGCUAACAGGUCAAGCUGAGGACUCUAGUGAGACUGCCGCCGUAAGGUGUGAGGAAGGUGGGGAUGACGUCAAAUCAGCACGGCCCUUACGUCCGGGGCGACACACGUGUUACAAUGGGAGGUACAGCAGGUCGCUACCUGGCAACAGGAUGCCAAUCUACAAAACCUCUCCCAGUUCGGAUUGGAGUCUGCAACUCGACUCCAUGAAGCUGGAUUCGCUAGUAAUCGCGCAUCAGCCAUGGCGCGGUGAAUACGUUCCCGGGCCUUGUACACACCGCCCGU